GUGCUCGCCUUGGCAGCACAUGCACUAAAAUUGGAAUGAUACAGAGAAGUUCACCAUAGCCCCCGUGCAAGGAUGACACGCAAACUCGAGAAAGAGUCCCAGACAGA